rnacentral:pre_miRNA from 1 species
GUACCACUCCCUCGGUCCUAAAAUUCUUGUUUUAGAUUUGUGUAGAUAUGAAUGUAUCUAGUCACAUUUUAGUAUUUAGAUAUAUCCAUUUUUAUACAAACCUAAGACAAAAAUUUUAAAACGAAGGGAAUAUACA